rnacentral:rRNA from 1 species
GAUAAACGCUGGCGGCGUGCAUGAGACAUGCAAGUCGAACGGACGAUCAGGGCUUGCUCUGGUCGUUAGUGGCGGACGGCUGAGUAACGCGUAGGUGACCUGCCCCGAAGUGGGGAAGUAACUGCCCGAAAGGGUAGGCUAAUACCGCAUGUGGUGGUGCCUUCAUGGGCACCAGUAAAGCCGCAAGGCGCUUCGGGAGGGGCCUGCGUCCGAUUAGCUCGUUGGUGGGGAACGGCUCACCAAGGCGACGAUCGGUAGGUGGUCUGAGAGGACGAUCACCCAGACUGGGACUGAGACACGGCCCAGACUCCUACGGGAGGCAGCAGUCGGGAAUUUUGCGCAAUGGACGAAAGUCUGACGCAGCAACGCCGCGUGA